AGUGAACGCUGGCGGUAGGCCUAACACAUGCAAGUCGAACGGCAGCACAGUAAGAGUUUGCUCUUACGGGUGGCGAGUGGCGGACGGGUGAGGAAUACAUCGGAAUCUACUUUUUCGUGGGGGAUAACGUAGGGAAACUUACGCUAAUACCGCAUACGACCUACGGGUGAAAGCAGGGGAUCUUCGGACCUUGCGCGAUUGAAUGAGCCGAUGUCGGAUUAGCUAGUUGGCGGGGUAAAGGCCCACCAAGGCGACGAUCCGUAGCUGGUCUGAGAGGAUGAUCAGCCACACUGGAACUGAGACACGGUCCAGACUCCUACGGGAGGCAGCAGUGGGGAAUAUUGGGCAAUGGGCGCAAGCCUGAUCCAGCCAUACCGCGUGGGUGAAGAAGGCCUUCGGGUUGUAAAGCCCUUUCGUUGGGAAAGAAAAGCAGCAGGUUAAUACCCCGCUGUUCUGACGGUACCCAAAGAAUAAGCACCGGCUAACUUCGUG
rnacentral:rRNA from 1 species